UGUUAAUUGUUAAUUCCAAGUGUGGAAUUUCUAGAAUUGUUUUAGCUAUGAACAGGACAUUUGUUAUUAGCCUCAAUGGCUCCCGAUUGCUGUCAUACGACACCAGUGCACGGCGUUUGAACGAUAUAACUGGAGCUAAUCCAAUUCGAGCCGACGUAUUAGCCGGCAAUGUAACCUUGGUUGUCGCGCUUUUCGAGGAUUGUUCAUUCGCAUUGUUUGAGUUGAUGCCGAUGCCGGCGGCCAGCCAGUUGAAAACGGUUCUCCGAACGUUGGCUACCAAUGCCCCAUUUGUCUGCGUGCCCCACGCGACCAUGAGCCAGUGGCUACUAAAUGUGGCCACAUCUUUUGCCGUGCCUGCAUCGAAACCAGCAACCAUAUGUUCCAUAUUGUCCCAUAUGCAAUGGGGAAGUGUCCGCAGCUCAGUUGCUACGCCUUUACAUGUAAGCCUUCGAUGCUAACUCCAAUUUGGAGUACUUCCCGGACUUACUUGUGUUCAAAUAAACAAACUUGGCUAUACAAAUAAUCUUGCAGCUA